rnacentral:rRNA from 1 species
AACGUAGGGGACAAGCGUUAUCCGGAUUUACUGGGCGUAAAGCGCCCGUAGGCGGCUUGAAAAGUUGGACGUGAAAGCUCCUGGCUUAACUGGGAGAGGCCGUUCAAAACUGUCAGGCUAGAGUAUGGAAGAGGAGCGUGGAAUUCCCGGUGUAGUGGUGGAAUGCGUAGAGAUCGGGAGGAACACCAGUGGCGAAAGCGGCGCUCUGGUCCAAAAACUGACGCUGAGGGGGCGAAAGCGUGGGGAGCAAACAGG